AUGUACCACUUGUACAAGUUAAGGUUCCUCCGCGCCGUCCGCACCCGUCUGGCGACUGCCCGCUACGUGUCGUUAGCC
rfam:Xanthomonas fragariae strain PD5205 genome assembly, chromosome: 1